rnacentral:ribozyme from 1 species
UUUUUGUGUUUUUUGUGUUUUUUUGUUUUGUUUUGUUUUUUUUGUUUUUGUUUCCCUUUUUUGUUUUAUAGGGCACAAGCACAAAAAGGAA